rnacentral:rRNA from 1 species
AUGGAAAAAUCAAAAAUUAUAGAUACGUUGGAGACGUAUCAUUGUGCGAGUGGGACAAUGUACAUGCUGCAGGCCUUGGGGACGAUGGGGAUAGGCUCCAUAUUCUACCACUGCUGCUACCAUGCCAGGCUGCGAACGGAGCAUGGGCUGGAGGAGAAGCCGUGCUCUGACUGCUGCGUCCACACCUUCUGUGGGUACUGCGCCCUCUGCCAGGAGUACCGCGAGCUUAAGCAUCGUGGCUUCGACAUGCACGCAGGGUGGCACGCCAACAUGGAGAAGAUGGGGAAGACCAUGGCGCCGCAGAUGAACCAGGGGAUGACUCGUUAG